AUUCAGGCUUCGAACUAGCUCUUACUCCUGACUCUACCUGUGGUUUUAAGGCUGAUCCCGGUGGGCAACGACCUGGGUAUGGCCAUCCUCCUACUGCAGCCUCCCCAGUGCUGUGGGGACACGCGUGCAAAAAUCGUAGAAAUUCUUUCCUUGGCUGAGGCUCAGUGGAUAAAAGUUUUGCGUAACAUGCACAGUGCUAUCCCUAACGCUGUGUGCUAAUACACGCCUGUCAUCUCAACACUUGGAAACUGGAAGGCAGGAUGAUCAGAAGUUAAGGGUCAGCCUGUGUUGCAAGACAUUGCUCAAAGAAAAAAGGAAACAGCCUGCAUCUUCCAUUUUUUCUUAGUUGCUAUGACAGUGCCUUGUUUAAGUAGGAAGCUGUGGCUGGCAAGCCAAUCCAAUAAUAUCCAUGCUCUACCUCCAUGGCUUUCACUAUGCCCAGAGUUGCCCUUGUAUUUCUCAUAACGAAAGGGUUCCCACUGGGCAGGUGCUUUGGGGGGAGGGGAAGCAUGGCAUGGGUCCUGUGGACAUCACCAGUGCUGAAAUGGCCUCUGAGGGUGUUUGUGCCCUGCAGACUAAAGAAGCCACAGCGAAGAAGGUAUGGGCUCCUGACCAACACAGAGGAGCAUGAAGAGAUGGCCUCUCAGGACAGCGAGGAAGAGACUGUCUUUGAAACCAGGAACCUGAGAUGAUGUUGAGAUGGUGAUGACAGGCUGCAAGGACAAGAGAGAACAUAUGGUUCUGUGAGCUCUGAUGUCAACCUGACUGGAGGAAGUGCACAGGCCCUAGGAGGCUGCAUGGGCCAGGACAGCACUGAGACCUCGUUGAGACUAGCCCACAGACUUAUGACUCCCAAGGCCAGGCUGAUUCGGGCUGCUUCGUCAGCCUGCCUCCCAUAAGGAACACCACCACCCUGUUACAAGGUGUGAUGGAGCAGGUGGACCUUGGAAUCGCUCUGGGCACCUUCUUGCUGAUUUGGGGACAAUAAAUGACGCAGGGGCUUUGUAGCUUA
rnacentral:lncRNA from 1 species